AUGGCUGACAAUAUUGACGUGUGGCCUGCUAGAUUCCUGCUGCAGGGAAUACUGGGACAAAACUAAUAAUGCUGGCAUUGGUGGAAUAGCGAGCAGCUUUCAAGACCCAGAUCUGAGAACCUGCAGCAAAUGGAACAGUGUCCCAGAGUUCAUUAAAGAGGUUGUGAGGCCCCAGAGGCUGUGCUACAGCUUUGUGACUUCAUUUGGAAGCUUUGUGAAACUGAAUGGUCGUCUUGGAUGACACCCAGAUUGCUAGGAAAAUAUCCAAGUGCAAUUGCAGGCACAAACCUUCAGGCUUACAGAGUCCCCUUGAGCAUCACUUCUGGGAACAGCAAAUCAGUAUGCCAGAUUGCCCCUCUCCCACAUCUCCAAAAGCACUGCCCAGCUCAAGGAAUGAAGGUAGCAGCCUUUCAAGCAUUAGAAGCCAUGGCACAAGCCCAUCAAAAUAUCUGAGCAGUUUGAGUAUCGUACAUCAAGAUUUGCAGUAG
rnacentral:lncRNA from 1 species